AAAGAAAGAGGAAUUUGUUGUUACUAGUUAGAAUUACAAGGAAUAAAUCUGAAAGAAGAUGAUAGCAUUUUGACACUAUGGGGAGGUCCAAAAAAACAGAGGACAAGAGAGAUGUUUCUAUUCACUUGUCUGUCUCUUAGAAUCCCUAGUUGUGGGAUUCUAUAUGGUGCUUCAAUGGCGAUCCCACUGAUUCACAGUCUAAAGACGACUCAAGAACAUACAAGACUUACAAUUGAAAGACUCUCAAGUAACAAACAUCAAGAUUGUAAAAGACCUAUCUUGUAGUGAGUAUUGGUGACUUCUAUCUUGUAGUGCCAAAACUUGUAGCACUCUGCAAACACAAUUAUUAUUGAUUUACAUAAGCUGACCUUUUCUUC
rnacentral:lncRNA from 1 species